rnacentral:rRNA from 1 species
ACGUACACUCCUGCGGGAGGCAGCAGUGGGGAAUUUUGGACAAUGGGCGAAAGCCUGAUCCAGCCAUGCCGCGUGCAGGAUGAAGGCCUUCGGGUUGUAAACUGCUUUUGUACGGAACGAAACGGCCUUUUCUAAUAAAGAGGGCUAAUGACGGUACCGUAAGAAUAAGCACCGGCUAACUACGUGCCAGCAGCCGCGGUAAUACGUAGGGUGCAAGCGUUAAUCGGAAUUACUGGGCGUAAAGCGUGCGCAGGCGGUUAUGUAAGACAGUUGUGAAAUCCCCGGGCUCAACCUGGGAACUGCAUCUGUGACUGCAUAGCUAGAGUACGGUAGAGGGGGAUGGAAUUCCGCGUGUAGCAGUGAAAUGCGUAGAUAUGCGGAGGAACACCGAUGGCGAAGGCAAUCCCCUGGACCUGUACUGACGCUCAUGCACGAAAGCGUGGGGAGCAAACAGGAUUAGAAACCCUUGUAGUCCC